UUGAACGCUGGCGGCAUGCCUUACACAUGCAAGUCGAACGGCAGCACGGGGGCAACCCUGGUGGCGAGUGGCGAACGGGUGAGUAACAUAUCGGAACGUGCCCUGGAGUGGGGGAUAACUAGUCGAAAGACUAGCUAAUACCGCAUACGAUCUACGGAUGAAAGUGGGGGAUCGCAAGACCUCAUGCUCGUGGAGCGGCCGAUAUCUGAUUAGCUAGUUGGNGGGGUAAAGGCCUACCAAGGCAUCGAUCAGUAGCUGGUCUGAGAGGACGACCAGCCACACUGGGACUGAGACACGGCCCAGACUCCUACGGGAGGCAGCAGGUGGGGAAUUUUGGACAAUGGGCGCAAGCCUGAUCCAGCAAUGCCGCGUGAGUGAAGAAGGCC
rnacentral:rRNA from 1 species